rnacentral:rRNA from 1 species
ACUUAAAUUGAAGAGUUUGAUCAUGGCUCAGAUUGAACGCUGGCGGCAGGCCUAACACAUGCAAGUCGAGCGGUAGCACAGAGAGCUUGCUCUCGGGUGACGAGCGGCGGACGGGUGAGUAAUGUCUGGGAAACUGCCUGAUGGAGGGGGAUAACGUAC